GACGAACCGUGUGAACGUUGUUCGGAAUCACUGGGCUUAAAGGGCGCGUAGGCGGGCUGUCAAGUCUGGGGUGAAAUCCCGCGGCUCAACCGUGGAACUGCCUUAGAUACUGACGGCCUCGAGGAAGGUAGGGGCAUGCGGAACUGUAGGUGGAGCGGUGAAAUGCGUUGAUAUCUACAGGAACUCCGGUGGCGAAAGCGGCGUGCUGGACCUUUUCUGACGCUGAGGCGCGAAAGCUAGGGGAGCAAACGGG
rnacentral:rRNA from 1 species